rnacentral:SRP_RNA from 1 species
GCGCGCGUGCCGCGUCCGCGACGCGUCGACGGCCGCGGACUCCAUCCGCGCGGAUCGCGCGUCCGCCUUCGAGCUCGCGGUCCGCGUCGCGGCGUCCCUGACGGGGCGCCGCGGCGCGGUUGGAGCGCCGGACACCGCGCGAGGCGGGGAACCGAACUGCGUCACCGGCCGCCGCGAGCGGCGAGCGGGGAGCGCGCGAGAGCGG